rnacentral:rRNA from 1 species
CCUACGGGGGGCUGCAGUCGAGAAUCAUUCGCAAUGGGCGAAAGCCUGACGAUGCGACGCCGUGUGAGCGAAGAAGGCCUUCGGGUUGUAAAGCUCUUUCGCCUGUGAACAAGAGAGAGUGGCUAAUAUCCACUUAAUUUGAGGGUAGCAGGUAAAGAAGCACCGGCUAACUCCGUGCCAGCAGCUGCGGUAAUACGGAGGGUGCAAGCAUUAAUCGGAUUUAUUGGGCGUAAAGGGCGCGUAGGCGGAGAGAAAAGUCAGGUGUGAAAUGCCGG